ACUUCUUCAGCAGGUCAUCCAAAACACUCAGCAUGGUCACUAGGAAGCUGCCAAAUGCCUGAAGUGUGGGCAAUGCAGAUGACGGUGUGCUCCUGGAGCUUUGUGAACAAGCAUCCAGGACUACAGCUCUGCUUUCAACAGAAAUAUCGCAUAUUGCUUAUUAGUGAAUGCUGAAAAUGGCACUGUCAGAUGGGACAGCGGAGGAUUUUCCUAGAAUGCAGGUGUUGCUAAGUUGAUGUCUAAAUGAUGAAGUGUGUUGGGCCAGAACACUCCUUUCUAUAUUCAGGAAAUGGCAGCUGGGUUCACCCCUGCAGAGAGUAUUUCUAUGGCUGACAUGUGACUAUACAAAGAACGGAGCAAGGUGAGUAUUACUUCUCUGUUGCAUACAUUAAGUCAUGACAGUUAUGAAAGAUAACUGGUAGCAGAAUUAGGAACAGAAUUUGAGUAUUUAGUGUGGCUGCUCAAACCCAUAUCUUGGCUGAUUUUACAACAAACAUUGUGAAGCACAAUAAAGGAGUCUGUUUCUGUCA
rnacentral:lncRNA from 1 species